rnacentral:rRNA from 1 species
AUUGAACGCUGGCGGCAGGCCUAACACAUGCAAGUCGAACGGUAACAGGAAGCAGCUUGCUGCUUUGCUGACGAGUGGCGGACGGGUGAGUAAUGUCUGGGAAACUGCCUGAUGGAGGGGGAUAACUACUGGAAACGGUAGCUAAUACCGCAUAACGUCGCAAGACCAAAGAGGGGGACCUUAGGGCCUCUUGCCAUCGGAUGUGCCCAGAUGGGAUUAGCUAGUAGGUGGGGUAACGGCUCACCUAGGCGACGAUCCCUAGCUGGUCUGAGAGGAUGACCAGCCACACUGGAACUGAGACACGGUCCAGACUCCUACGGGAGGCAGCAGUGGGGAAUAUUGCACAAUGGGCGCAAGCCUGAUGCAGCCAUGCCGCGUGUAUGAAGAAGGCCUUCGGGUUGUAAAGUACUUUCAGCGGGGAGGAAGGGAGUAAAGUUAAUACCUUUGCUCAUUGACGUUACCCGCAGAAGAAGCACCGGCUAACUCCGUGCCAGCAGCCGCGGUAAUACGGAGGGUGCAAGCGUUAAUCGGAAUUACUGGGCGUAAAGCGCACGCAGGCGGUUUGUUAAGUCAGAUGUGAAAUCCCCGGGCUCAACCUGGGAACUGCAUCUGAUACUGGCAAGCUUGAGUCUCGUAGAGGGGGGUAGAAUUCCAGGUGUAGCGGUGAAAUGCGUAGAGAUCUGGAGGAAUACCGGUGGCGAAGGCGGCCCCCUGGACGAAGACUGACGCUCAGGUGCGAAAGCGUGGGGAGCAAACAGGAUUAGAUACCCUGGUAGUCCACGCCGUAAACGAUGUCGACUUGGAGGUUGUGCCCUUGAGGCGUGGCUUCCGGAGCUAACGCGUUAAGUCGACCGCCUGGGGAGUACGGCCGCAAGGUUAAAACUCAAAUGAAUUGACGGGGGCCCGCACAAGCGGUGGAGCAUGUGGUUUAAUUCGAUGCAACGCGAAGAACCUUACCUGGUCUUGACAUCCACGGAAGUUUUCAGAGAUGAGAAUGUGCCUUCGGGAACCGUGAGACAGGUGCUGCAUGGCUGUCGUCAGCUCGUGUUGUGAAAUGUUGGGUUAAGUCCCGCAACGAGCGCAACCCUUAUCCUUUGUUGCCAGCGGUCCGGCCGGGAACUCAAAGGAGACUGCCAGUGAUAAACUGGAGGAAGGUGGGGAUGACGUCAAGUCAUCAUGGCCCUUACGACCAGGGCUACACACGUGCUACAAUGGCGCAUACAAAGAGAAGCGACCUCGCGAGAGCAAGCGGACCUCAUAAAGUGCGUCGUAGUCCGGAUUGGAGUCUGCAACUCGACUCCAUGAAGUCGGAAUCGCUAGUAAUCGUGGAUCAGAAUGCCACGGUGAAUACGUUCCCGGGCCUUGUACACACCGCCCGUCACACCAUGGGAGUGGGUUGCAAAAGAAGUAGGUAGCUUAACCUUCGGGAGGGCGCUUACCACUUUGUGAUUCAUGACUGGGGAGAAGUCGUAACAAGGUA